rnacentral:rRNA from 1 species
UUUAAUUAUUAUAUAUAAAAGUGAAAAUACAAAAUAUAAAUUAAUUUUAGUUGGGGCAACUGGGAGGGAUAAAAAUCUUUUAUUAAAUCAUUUAUAGUAAUAUUUAUAUUUAUGAUCCAAAUUAGUUAAUUUUGAACUUAGAAU